ACUAACUGAUUGUAAUUGAUAAAGCUAUAGGAUGGGGUAUGAUUCAUACGAGGGGUUUUUGAGAGUUGCUUAACUGAUCGAAGAAUCUUCAACAUAGUCUUUACCCCUUUUUUAUUCUAUUGUGCUCUCUAAGCCAGGAAAGUUGACAUUAAUUCGAAGUAUUCUAGGUGUGGUGGAAGUCAAGAGAAGGAUAUUGUGGAUGCCAUUUGGAAGUGCUCGACAACAGUUGCAACAUGGAAAGGGAGUGGGCUGUGGAAGCUACUAUUGCAGUAGUUCUUUUGACUUUCUUGACUUAGUGAAGGCCUUACUCUCCCCUGCUGAAUAUGAUUUGUUUGCGAUCCUUUCUUGGCAUAUUUGGUUAACUAGAAAUAAAUGGGUUCAUGGAGAGAUGAUUCCAAAGGCUGAAGAUGUUGUUGAAUGGUGCACAAAGUAUGUUGCAGAUUUUUAAAACUCCUCUUUGGGUUCAAACAAAUUGGCCUCCUCUAAUGGUACUCUGAAAUGGACUUUCUCCUGCUGCUAAUGAGGUAAAAAUCAAUGUUGACGCUGGUCUUUGCUCUUCCAACCUCUCUGGAAUUGUUGCUAGAAACCAUGACGGGCAGGUUUUAUGGGCUCGAACUGAUUAUAUAUAUCCUGUGGCCUCUUUCUCCUCUUGCGGCUGAGUUGACAGCCAUUAGAGCUGGGGUUCAUUUGGCCGUAGAAAAGAAGCUGCCAAAAAUUUGCAUUGCGCUGGAUUGUCUAGCUGCGAUUCAGUUGAUCAACUCCAAGUUUAGAGGUUGCUAGUCCUUUUUGUUGUUUUGGACUUGGCCUUUUCUAUUGUAUUUGUUUGGUUGGUUUGGUGAAUAUCUUCCUUUCCAAAAGAAAAAAUGGUACUAUAUUUUCUUAGUUUUCCCUUUUCUAGUUCCCUUCAUGGUUCUCAUCAUGCGUGCCAAAACUUUUCCGUAGUCUUGAACUUGGCGUCGCACAUUUUUGCAAGAGAAAUAACACUAAUGUGAAGGACUUAUUCAGUGUUAUGCAGU